rnacentral:rRNA from 1 species
GACGAACGCUGGCGGCGUGCUUAACACAUGCAAGUCGAACGGAAAGGCCCUGCUUGCUGGGUCCUCGAGUGGCGAACGGGUGAGUAACACGUGGGUGAUCUGCCCUGUACUUUGGGAUAAGCCUGGGAAACUGGGUCCAAUAGCGGAUAUGACCUUCCACGUAGUGGGGGGGGCGGAAAGAUUUAUCGGUGUGGGCUGGGCGCGGGGCCGAUCAGCUUGUUGGUGGGGUAAUGGCCUACCAAGGCGUCGACGGGUAGCCGGCCUGAGGGGGUGGACGGCCACAAUAGGACUGAGGGACGGCCCAGACUCCUACGGGGGGCAGCGGUGGGGAGUAUUGCACAAUGGGCGGAAGCCGUAUGCAGCGGCGCCGCGUGGGGGAUGACGGCCUUCGGGUUGUAAACCUCUGUCGGCAGGGACGAAGCUUCGGUGACGGUACCUAUAUAAGAAGCACCGGCUAACUACGUG